ensembl:lncRNA
ACAGUAGAGACAGUAGAGACAGUAAGAGCAGGAGAGACAGUAAACACGACAGAGACACAGUAGAGACCAGUGGAUUAUUAUCAGGGAGUGACUCAACAUAAAUAAACCUGGACAAACCAGUUGGUCUGGUCGGUACACUUCUUUACCUGCUGCUAGGAGAGAGGAGGAACGUAGAACUACUGAAACCUGACAACAGACAGAGGCCAGGUGAGGGUUUAGGGGGGGACAGGGAGACAGAGAGAGGCCAGGUGAGGGUAUAGGGGAGGACAGAGAGAGAGAGAGAGAGAGAGAGAGGCCAGGUGAGGGUAUAGGGGAGGACAGAGAGAGGCCAGGUGAGGGGAGAGAGACAGAGAGAGAGAGAGAGAGAGGCCAGGUGAGGGUAUAGGGGAGGACAGAGAGAGAGAGAGAGGCCAGGUGAGGGUAUAGGGGAGGACAGAGAGAGAGAGAGAGAGGCCAGGUGAGGGUAUAGGGAGGACAGAGAGAGAGAGAGAGAGAGGCCAGGUGAGGGUAUAGGGGAGGACAGAGAGAGAGAGAGGCCAGGUGAGGGUAUAGGGAGGACAGAGAGAGAGAGAGAGGCCAGGUGAGGGUAUAGGGGAGGACAGAGAGAGAGAGAGAGGCCAGGUGAGGGUAUAGGGGAGGACAGAGAGAGAGAGGCCAGGUGAGGGUAUAGGGGAGGACAGAGAGAGAGAGGCCAGGUGAGGGUAUAGGGGAGGACAGAGAGAGAGAGAGGCCAGGUGAGGGUAUAGGGGAGGACAGAGAGAGAGAGGCCAGGUGAGGGUAUAGGGGAGGACAGAGAGAGAGGCCAGGUGAGGGUAUAGGGGAGGACAGAGAGAGGCCAGGUGAGGGUAUAGGGGAGGACAGAGGAGUAAAUACAGGUCACCUUUGUA